rnacentral:rRNA from 1 species
AACGAACGCUGGCGGCAUGCCUAACACAUGCAAGUCGAACGAGACCUUCGGGUCUAGUGGCGCACGGGUGCGUAACGCGUGGGAAUCUGCCCUUGGGUUCGGAAUAACAGUUAGAAAUGACUGCUAAUACCGGAUGAUGACGUAAGUCCAAAGAUUUAUCGCCCAAGGAUGAGCCCGCGUAGGAUUAGCUUGUUGGUGAGGUAAAAGCUCACCAAGGCGACGAUCCUUAGCUGGUCUGAGAGGAUGAUCAGCCACACUGGGACUGAGACACGGCCCAGACUCCUACGGGAGGCAGCAGUGGGGAAUAUUGGACAAUGGGCGAAAGCCUGAUCCAGUAAUGCCGCGUGAGUGAUGAAGGCCUUAGGGUUGUAAAGCUCUUUUACCCGGGAUGAUAAUGACAGUACCGGGAGAAUAAGCCCCGGCUAACUCCGUGCCAGCAGCCGCAGUAAUAC